rnacentral:rRNA from 1 species
UUGGCUCAGGAUGAACGCUGGCGGCGUGCCUAACACAUGCAAGUCGAACGGGGUGUCUGAUCUUCGGACUGGACACUUAGUGGCGGACGGGUGAGUAACGCGUGGGUAACCUGCCUCAUACAGGGGGAUAGCAGUUGGAGACGACUGAUAAUACCGCAUAAGCGCACAGUACCGCAUGGUACAGUGUGAAAAACUCCGGUGGUAUGAGAUGGACCCGCGUCUGAUUAGCUUGUUGGCGGGGUAACGGCCCACCAAGGCGACGAUCAGUAGCCGGCCUGAGAGGGUGAACGGCCACAUUGGGACUGAGACACGGCCCAAACUCCUACGGGAGGCAGCAGUGGGGAAUA